rnacentral:rRNA from 1 species
CACGAACGCUGGCGGCAGGCUUAACACAUGCAAGUCGAGCGCCCCGCAAGGGGAGCGGCAGACGGGUGAGUAACGCGUGGGAAUCUACCCAUCUCUACGGAAUAACGCAUGGAAACGUGUGCUAAUACCGUAUACGUCCUUCGGGAGAAAGAUUUAUCGGAGAUGGAUGAGCCCGCGUUGGAUUAGCUAGUUGGUGGGGUAAAGGCCUACCAAGGCGACGAUCCAUGGCUGGUCUGAGAGGAUGAUCAGCAACACGGGGACUGAGACACGGCCCAGACUCCUACGGGCGGCAGCAGUGGGGAAUAUUGGACAAUGGGCGCAAGCCUGAUCCAGCCAUGCCGCGUGAGUGAUGAAGGCCCUAGGGUUGUAAAGCUCUUUCACCGGUGAAGAUAAUGACGGUAACCGGAGAAGAAGCCCCGGCUAACUUCGUGCCAGCCGCCGCAGUAAAAC